rnacentral:lncRNA from 1 species
GCUGGUCUCAAACUCCUGACCUCAGGUGAUUUGCCCGCCUCAGCAUUCCAAAGUGCUGGGAUUACGGGCGUGAGCCACCAUGCCCAGCCUUAGUUAUUUUUUUAAAGAUAGUUUUGACAUUUGGGAUUGAUCCACUGCUGCCUGAAAACACACAGUCUUUGUGCACAUGCCUGGCAGUGUGGCUUUCUGACAGGUGCCAGCGCCUGAGCUUGGUGGUGCCUGGCAGUGUGGCUUUCUGACAGGUGCCCAGGACCUGUGUUCAGUGGUCGAGGAAAAUUUCCCUAAGGAGCAAACACCCCUGAGGCCACUGCCACAGGAGCAUGAACUCCAAACCCGCGGUGCAGAGAGGCUCAAGGGGCAAGACGCUGCGUUUCAGAAGAUCUACGAUGCGACACUCUCAGUGUGCACCACAGCAUUUGGUCAGAUAUUAAUCUCAGGCCAGGAGCUGAAGCCUCUCACCCGACAGGUCAUCUCGGCUGGUCGCGGGGGCUCAAGCCUGUAAUCCCAGCACUCUGGGAGGCCAAGGUGGGUGGAUCACCUGAGGUCAGGAGUUUGAAACCAGCCUGGCCAAUAUGGCGAAACCUCGUCUCUACUAAAAAUACAAAAAUUAGGCAGGAGUGGUGGCACAUGCCUGUAGUCCCAGCUACUUGGGGGGCUGAGGCAAGGAGGAUGGCUUGAACCUGGGAGGUGGAGGUUGCAGUGAGCCAGGACAGUGCCACUGCAUUUCAGCCUGGACGACAGAUUGAGACUCUGUCUCAAAAAAAUAAAUAAAUAAAAUAGAAUUUACUAUCACUUCCUACUUGACAGAGCGCAACACCAAACCCAGAACCAUCGCCAGGCAGGCCGGAGCACAGCGUGCAAACUCACACCCGAUCAAUUAUCCAGAUGGUUUAGGCAGCGUUCAGUGUCACGCAGCAUAGACACCUGCCUUUUGAGGGGCAGCACUGGCCUCACUGGCCCUCUGACCCUCCCCACAUUUCCCCGUUAAUAAAGCAUGGAAAGGAACAGGGCAAGGGAGAGGACGGAGCAGGCAGCAUGGAGGAAUUUGCUCCAAUGCGCCCAGUCCGGGGAUGGAAGGAGGGUCUGGGAUCUGGCCUGCGCUUUUGCUCACACACAGGACACACUACAGGGGCUGUGGGGAACUGUCAAGGAUGUGGCUGACUCAGCAGCCCCAAGGUGUGCCUUCAUGCAGACGGGCUCACUUGAGGACGAGUAACAGAUGUCAACAUGAAUCCCCGUGGAAACAAACGACAGCCACUGGAACAAGCAGCAGCAGCCACGGACUCCGAGCCUGCAGGAAGGAAGAGGACGGGGCUAAGGCAGAGUCGGAUAACGAGCCCUUCAGCAGAGAGGGGCGCUGUUUUCGGCAUCUUCACAGCAGAGCUUCACGCCGUGUUCUGCCAACCCCACUGGAAGAAGAAACACCUGGAAGCUACGCGGCCAGCCCACGGGCACUUCACCUGCACAUCAAGGGCCUGCCUCAAAGCAGGGAAAGAACGAUAAACUGAGUCCCACCAAACGCUGUUAGCUCUCUAAGCCAGUGCAAGCAAGGCCCCUGCGGGCAACCCACUCGCUGUCCCUCAGACGCCACAUCCGAGGCACACGCUGCAGCCCGCUGGCCUUGCCGCCUACCCCGAUGAAGUGGGACCCACCGAACAACAAAGCCUCCAUUCCCCAGGGUCUUGCAACUCUGCGGCUCCCGUGACGGGGGAAGGUGGGAGGAGCUGCUCAGACACACAGCCUCGCACGCCAACGACGCUCUUCACCGAUGCCGGUAGACAUGUGUGUUGCUUAGCCAGUCUGACAUACACAGGGCAGUGACAGGAAAAGGCCCAUAGGAAAGAGCGUUCAUUCAGACCUGACCCAGAGACCCAGGGCUCUCACACUCUGAGACUGUGACCUGGGAUGAGAAAUACACUGGCUGCUUUACCUUGAAAUGAGCCGCAACUGUGAUCUGGUACACGUCUUUUGUGAGUGGGUGCAGCACAUCGCACAUUUGCAAUUUGGCCCAGGUGUGACAUCUUCUCAAGGGCGUCACCCAGGAAGACAUGGUCCUCAACCACCCUCUUCUAAUUUCUGCAACUGGAGAUACCGGAAGCUUUGAUGUAAGACACCUGGCUUCCAGUUUAGAACAGAUGACUUACGAAACCUGGGAGGCAUCAGCUGAUGUGACAAGUAAAGACAAAUCCUGGCACCAGACCCAAACACAGGAGGGAAUUCCUAGUUCCCCGUGAGGUGGACGGGAAGCAGGGAGGCAGCGGGCACUGUGUUUGAGGAGCUGAGGUUCUUUGAUGCCUUCCACCGCUCU